GGGGCCUUAGCUCAGGUGGGCGAGCGCCUGCUUUGCACGCAGGAGGUCAGCGGUUAGAUCCCGCUAGGCUCCAUCA
rnacentral:tRNA from 1 species